AUGCAUUGGCAAGCUUGGGAGAAGAUGGCAAUUUCACAGUACAAAGGAGGUAUGGGGUUCCGAGACCUCAUGACCUUUAAUGAUGCCAUGCUCGCUAAACAAGCGUGGCUGCUACUGGAUAGACCAGAAAGUUUGUGUGCACGUGUAUUAAGAGGAAGGUAUUAGGGAGAUGGAAACUUCUUGGAGGCUGGUUGUUCCUCGAGUGCAUAAAAAACUUGGAGAGCUAUCCUACAGGGGCGUGGCCUGUUGCAGGAAAUGUUUAAAUAUAAUUUUUAG
rnacentral:rRNA from 1 species